rnacentral:rRNA from 1 species
UGGGGAAUCUUGCGCAAUGGGCGAAAGCCUGACGCAGCCAUGCCGCGUGAAUGAUGAAGGCCUUAGGAUUGUAAAAUUCUUUCACCGGGGACGAUAAUGACGGUACCCGGAGAAGAAGCCCCGGCUAACUUCGUGCCAGCAGCCGCGGUAAUACGAAGGGGGCUAGCGUUGCUCGGAAUUACUGGGCGUAAAGGGAGCGUAGGCGGACAUUUAAGUCAGGGGUGAAAUCCCGGGGCUCAACCUCGGAAUUGCCUUUGAUACUGGGUGUCUUGAGUAUGAGAGAGGUGUGGGGAACUCCGAGUGGAGAGGUGAAAUUCGUAGAUAUUCGGAAGAACACCAGUGGCGAAGGCGACACACUGGCUCAUUACUGACGCUGAGGCUCGAAAGCGUGGGGAGCAAACAGG